CAAAAUAUAGCUUAAUUAAAAGUAGUUCGUUUACAUUGAAUAGAUUUUGUGGGAAUCAAAUGUUUUGA
rnacentral:tRNA from 1 species